rnacentral:rRNA from 1 species
AGCUCUGUAAGCGUAUACCAAAGUUGUUGCAGUUAAAACGCUCGUAGUCGGACCUUGGCGGGCGGGCUGGGGCGUCUUUACGGACGGAUCCAGGACCGGCCGCCUUUGUGGAUGGGGGCCCGGCGUCGCUUCAGUGCGUCGGCGUGGUCGCUGCCACCGUUUACUGUGAGAAAAUUAGAGUGUUCAAAGCGGGCGUUUGCCAUGAAUACAUUAGCAUGGAAUAAUAGAAUAGGACCUGUCUCCUAUUUUGUUGGUUUGUGAGGAACGGGUAAUGAUUAAGAGGGACGGUUGGGGGCAUUUGUAUUCCGGCGUCAGAGGUGAAAUUCUUGGAUUGUCGGAAGACAAACGGCUGCGAAAGCGUCUGCCAAGGACGUUUUCAUUGAUCAAGAACGAAAGUAGG